rnacentral:rRNA from 1 species
GACAGAGGGUGCAAACGUUGUUCGGAAUUACUGGGCGUAAAGCGAGUGUAGGCGGUUCGAUAAGUCGGAUGUGAAAGCCCCGGGCUCAACCCGGGAAGUGCACUCGAUACUGUCGAGCUAGAGUAUCGGAGAGGUUGGUGGAAUUCUCGGUGUAGAGGUGAAAUUCGUAGAUAUCGGGAGGAACACCGGUGGCGAAGGCGGCGAUCUGGGUAGAUACUGACGCUGAGGUGCGAAAGCAUGG